rnacentral:lncRNA from 1 species
GAUUGGGCUAUAAUUUGAUUAAUUAUUGCACUAAUUUAUUUUAUCAAAAGGCUUGCAUUUGCAUAUUAUUUUACAAAGAAUGUCAUAUUUGGACUUCAUAUUUUAAUUUCAUUAUUAAGUUGGACUUGAUUUUAUUAAAUCCCAACUCAAAUUUUAAUAAGAGCAUGCAUUUUAUUAUUUGAUUCAUUAGACCAACUAUUUUCCAAAUGAUUUUAUGAUAAUAAAUUCUUAAGAUUUAAACUACUAUUAUUAUUAUUUUAAAGUUCAAUUAGGCCCUUAUGUAUUAUUAUUUGAAUUUAUCUGACUAGGUGCGGCGCGACUAGGACGUUACUUUUAUUUGAUUUACUCAAGUUAGCAUACAAGUUGAAGUUCAAGUUCAAGUUCAAAGUUCAGGUGUGGGAUUUAUUUCAGUACAUGCCCGUGGUUAAUUUUUGUCCAUUUUAAUAUUAUGUGUUUACCAUAUGUGAGUUGCAUUAAAUUAUAUCGCUAGGGGCCCGCUCAAUGGGUCCAGGACAUUAAAGUCCUUGGUAUGCCACAAUGCGAUUUCAUGUUAAAGUUAUGGUUGCAACCAGUCGCCAGGGGCCGGCUCAAUCGGUCCAGGACGGAAAGGUCCUUGGUAUGCCACAGUGCAACUUUCAGUUACGAAUGUAUUGAUCAUAUGUGAUUCUCAUUUUAUUAACGUGGACAAUGAUUGCAUGUUUCCCACACUGAGUGUACCCUGUAUGCUCAUCCCAUAUUUAACAUUUUCAGGUUUUAAAGACCGGAGGCGCGUGGAAGGUCGAAUGACGAGUCAAAUAUUUUGAAUUUAGUUUUACGUAAAAAUGUUAUGUUGAGUAUAAUAUUUUAAAUAAAAUGUUUCUUUUCUUAUUUUUCACAUUAAAUAUUUAUUUAUAUUCAUAGUUUUUCCGCGUGCGUUUUCAUUUAAAAUUAAAUUGGAUUUGGGUGUCACAGGGUGGUAUCAGAGCAGGUCUACUUUCCUGUAGACUCUGCAAAAUAUUUUACAUAAAAUUUUUAAAAGUCAUGUGUGAGAAAGUCAUUCGACCACUGCGCGCUCCGACUUCAAGGUAAAGAUAUUUCAAAUAUUUUUUCAAGGGGAUGAGUAUAAAUUAUUUACGUUGAAAGUAUGUUGAGUUUUGCUGCAAUGAUUGAAGUAUUAUCAGAAAGUUCAAGUUUAUUAUGCAAGUUAUUAUGAGAAAGUUCAGUAUUCAAGUUAUUAUGUUGAAGAUUAUUGCAGCUAUGAAUGGUUAAAUUUCGAGGACGAAAUUUUUUUAAGUGGGUAGGUUUGUCACAGCCCAAAACCAUUUACUUCCUUUGCAAAUUUUAUUUGAAAAUUAGUUAUAUUUUCGAGUUAUUAAUAUAUAUAUAUAUAUAUAUAUAUAUCUAUGAGUCGAGUUUGUGAAUUAUCUAGUCGCGCCCCUAGUUAGAUCAUUAAUUUUAGAUUACAGAUUUUUUUUACUUAGCAAUAAAUAUUUACAUAAUUGGGCUGAAUGAAUAUUUGCAUAUAUUUUUAUAUUAUUGGGCCUGAAUAAAACUAGUUGUAGUCUAUUUAUAUUGGGCUUCACUUACUUGUAUUGCUUUUGGAUAUACAUGUCUUUUUUUUAUCACUCAAAUUUUCAGCCACAUUUUCUGAUUUUGGACGUGUUCCAUUCCUCAGCCACAAUUAUAUUUUUUCACUUCAUCUAUCAGAUUACUUUUGAAAUCUUGUACCGCAAGUUCCAUUACGAUUCAUCCUACUUAAAACACCGCCUCACUUUUUUAUCAAAGUAGCUUCUUUCAUUUUCUGGAAAUAUUUCGAAAACACAGCUGCUCAUUUCCAGUGUUGUUCCUCUCGCCUCCAGUGGUAAAUUUUAAAUUUAUGUACAGAGAUUAUGCAAUUCUAUUCCAGCACAUCAAUGAUUUCUUCAUUGUUUUCAUAUCUGCCCAAAAACCAAAACUUUACAACAGAAUUCUGUUUUCAAAUCAAAACAUGUAUACAUCCAUUUUUCUGUAAUUUCCAUAAGGAAAUCAAAUAGAACACAGAUAUUAUUAAUUACACAGAAACGGAAAAAUAGGAGAAUAAAGUGGAGAUGGAGUUUGUGGCAUAGAACAGGGGGAAAUCGGGUGUAUGAUUGCUGGAAAACAGGAGAGGCGAAGGGGGAGCUGGCUAGUAGGCGUCGCCGGGCGCUGCCGCGCCACGGCGGCCGGCGAAGAUGGGCAGGGAGGUGGCGACGGCGGCUGGGCUGUGCUGCUGUCAACGCGGAGACGGCGAUGGUGGCAGCUGCCGUCGACCAGAAGAGGGCGAGAAGUGAGAGAUAAGGGAAGAGGGAGAGAGAGGCUGAAGGAAAGAGAGAGGAGGCAGGGCCGCCGGCUCCGGCGACGGCGCUGCCGUCCGGUGGUGGCGGUAGGAGGAGGGCCGAGGGGAGAGUAGGAGGGAGGGAGAAUGAGGAGCUGCUGCUGUGCGUAAGUUUUGUGUGUGUUGGGGUGUGAGUGAGUGAGUGAGUGUUAUAUUAAGGGUUGAUAGUAGGCCUUGGGCUUGGGCUUAGGUUAGUUUAAUUUUAAAUGGGCUCAGGUUUAUUAAAUGAUUGGGCUAUAAUUUGAUUAGCUAUUGCACUAAUUUAUUUUAUCAAAAUGCUUGCAUUUGCAUAUUAUUUUUCAAAAGAUGUCAUUAAUACAAUAUUUGGGCUAGAUUAUUAAUUUGAACUUAGUUUUACUUAAAUAUUGAGCCCAAAUCUUUUUAUAAGAAAAACUCUUAUAUAAUCUAUUAGACCAAUGUUUUCUUUAAAUGAUUUUAUGAUAAUAAAUUCUUAAGAUUUAAACUACUUAAUUAUUAUUUUUAAAGUUCAAUUAGGCCCUUAUGUAUUAUUAUUUGAAUUUAUCUGACUAGGUGCGGCGCGACUAGAACGUUACUUUUAUUUGAUUUACUCAAGUUAGCAUACAAGUUGAAGUUCAAGUUCAAGUUCAAAAUUCAGGUGUGGGAUUUAUUUCAGUACAUGCACGUGGUUAAUUCUUGUCCAUUUUAAUAUCAUGUGUUUACCAUAUGUGAGUUGCAUUAAAUUAUAUCGCUAGGGGCCCGCUCAAUGGGUCCAGGACUUCACAGUCCUUGGUAUGCCACAAUGCGAUUUCAUGUUAAAGUUAUGGUUGCAACCAGUCGCCAGGGGCCGGCUAAAUCGGUCCAGGACGGAAAGGUCCUUGGUAUGCCACCGUGCGACUUUCAGUUACGAAUGUAUUGAUCAUAUGUGAUUCUCAUUUUAUUAACGUGGACAAUGAUUGCAUGUUCCCACACUGAGUGUACCCUGUAUGCUCAUCCCAUAUUCAACAUUUUCAGGUUUUAAAGGUCGGAGGCGCGUGGAAG